rnacentral:rRNA from 1 species
UUGACCUCGGAUCAGGUAGGAAUACCCGCUGAACUUAAGCAUAUCAAUAAGCGGAGGAAAAGAAACCAACAGGGAUUGCCCUAGUUACGGCGAGUGAAGCGGCAACAGCUCAAAUUUGAAAUCUGGCUCUCGGGCCCGAGUUGUAAUUUGUAGAGGAUGCUUUUGGCAAGGUGCCUUCCGAGUUCCCUGGAACGGGACGCCAUAGAGGGUGAGAGCCCCGUCUGGUUGGACACCGAGCCUCUGUAAAGCUCCUUCGACGAGUCGAGUAGUUUGGGAAUGCUGCUCUAAAUGGGAGGUAUAUGUCUUCUAAAGCUAAAUACUGGCCAGAGACCGAUAGCGCACAAGUAGAGUGAUCGAAAGAUGAAAAGCACUUUGAAAAGAGAGUUAAAAAGCACGUGAAAUUGUUGAAAGGGAAGCGCUUAUGACCAGACUUGGGCUUGGUUGAUCAUCCGGCGUUCUCGCCGGUGCACUCUUCCAGUUCAGGCCAGCAUCAGUUUGCCUCGGGGGAUAAAAGUAGCGGGAAUGUGGCUCCUCCGGGAGUGUUAUAGCCCGCUGCAUAAUACCCUGUGGCAGACUGAGGACCGCGCUUCGUGCAAGGAUGCUGGCGUAAUGGUCAUCAGCGACCCG